CAUUGAUAUGUAACAGUCUUGUAGGCAAAUUUAUAUCAAUAUCCACCCCCGUACGUGUAUAAGUUAUUCUAGAUCUAGGUUUGGAAUGUAGAAACGCUGUACCAAAGAGUUGAUCAGUGAUUGAAGUGCUAAAGCUGGAUCUUGAAUCAGUAGGAUCAGACCGCACCAGCCAAACACUUCAUUCCUACGAGGUUCCGGCACAAGGUACGUAAUUAUUAUAAAUUAAUAUCACACUUGUUCUGUGCAACUGUCGUUACUACACAUGUGUUCAAUGAGAUGGCAAGAUGAGGAUUACAUACUGGACUGUUGGACUCACUCCACCCACUUUCUUCCUGAUGCAUCUGGAUUGUUAGAUACACGAUGAUUACAAACUGCCCUCUAAAAUAUGUUGAAUGAGAUAUAUGGUAAAUUGUAGCAUUGCAAAUAAGAUCCAUCUAUUUGAUUAGUAUUGUAACCUCUAUUAAAAUUGUUGUGUGGCAGUAAGUCAACAGUGUGUGUGUGUGUGUGUGUGUGUGUGUGUGUGUGUGUGUGUGUGUGUGUGUGUGUGUGUGUGUGUGUGUGUGUGUGUGUGUGUGUGUGUGUGUGUGUGUGUGUGACUGCUGGCACUCAUUGGCAGUGUCAUUUCAUGUAAAUUGUACAGUCAGUACACACUCAUUAGUAUUACAUGCUUUUAGUUCGAGCGAUGGUGAGAUUGAGAAUACUGUAAUUUUCUUGAGCAAGAAACUCCCUUGUCUUUGCCACUCAACUGAUUGUGUAUCUUAAGUAACUGGUAUUUAAUUGGGGCAGACUUGUGACUGUUGUAGUUAACCUGAACUGUCUGGCUUGCUGCGUUGUAAGUCUUGUGACUGUUACUAAUAUUCUUGUCUGCAUUAUGAUGUUGCAAGUUGUAGCAGAAACUCACUUUGACAACAAUGACAUUGAACAUGUCUAUUUGUGUUUGAAAAUGAAAUCGAACAUUACUUGAGCCAUCAAGCUAAGCCUGGUAGUGAAAUGUAAUCACAGGGAUGCAAGCAUAACGUUUCUGUUAGUUAUCUGUUGUUACAUUAAUUAAAUUGAUGUCUAACAAACCUAACAACCAUUUACCUACCUUGAAUAUAUGUAUUUCUUUUUUACGAUACCUUUGAUGACUGUGAGUGACAUGAUGUAUUUGUGUAACAACUAUAGCAAACUCAACGUGGCAAUUAUUCCAAAUGAUUUGUUGCCAGCCAGUUGACAGCCUUUGGCUGAAAGUUUUAAAACAAUCAGUUGCUGUGUCGAUCUGCUCCUCGAUAGACUGUGAACAUGACCUGACUCAAUUCGAUCCUGAACUAAACCGAGGCCGUGCCUUAACCAGAACAAAGGAGCCAUGAUCACUGAAACCUGCACUACUAAAAGCAGAGGCGAUGACAGUAAUGAUAGCUACUGGUUAUCUAUUAUUACUAAUUAUAGCUACAGUAAUGAUGGCUACUGUACAACUUAGAUAGCUGUACUUUGAGAAAGAGUUACACUGCUUUUAGUGAUGAAACUGUUUGUCAGUUGAUAUUUCAUGAGUUGAUACCUACAUAUAAUGACGUUUUGUUAGAAUAGCUUCUCGACAUUGUGAGCCAGGUCUAUCAAUUGUUGACUUGUAAUAGAUGGCAUGCAUUUUGUAUGUAAAACUACAGUUGUAGAAUUUUUCUCACAA